GGAGCUGAAUAAACAAGGCUCUGCCACCAGUUUCUGCUGCUUAAGCUUUUCCCUUGUUCUCUAACAUGCUGGGAACUAUCUGGAUUAUGGCUCUGCCCAGUGGGGGCAGGGGGCAGACGUCCAUGUGCCCAUCUCCAUUGGCACUGCUCGGAGCUGUAAGGCCCAUUUCCCUGACUGACUGGCGAUGCCCCGUCCCUGGUAUACCCACAAGGGCCUGGCUGACAACGUUCUCGGAGAUUCGAGGAAAGUGUAAUUCUCAGAAAGUCUGGAAGGUUCCAUGAUAUUCUACAAAGGUCCAGAACGUUCUAGGAGAUUCAUGGAAAAAUGAAUCCACACCCGGAAUACCAGGAACAUUUUACUUCAAACAUUCUAUUUUCUCUUUUGUGGCUAACAACCCAAACAGCAGCCUGAGCCCGGGGUCCCCCAAGCCCGGCACCCCAGGUGGUUGCCUGCCCCUAAAUCCGGCCCUGGUGAUGCUGGGCUCCCCCCUCCCCUGGCAGCAUCGACUAAGCUGUUGCUUUCCAGCAGGAUGGCCACCUGCAGCUGGGGGUUCGGAUGGAACAAGUCGGAUCACAAAUUCAGUUUCCAGGUGGGAAGUGGUCGGAGACUCGCCCAAUCACUGAGCUGAGCCCAGUGGGCAAAAUUUCCCUUUAAGCACGAAUCUUGUCACGGGCAAUCUCUUCCUGGGAGAGGCUGCUAGCACCUAAAACAAAGCCAUGUGCAACUGCUAACCGUGAAAGGGAUGCAGCCCAGCUAGGCUAGAGGUGGCACUUGGAAGUGUGCAAAUGUGAGCUGGAGAGAAAUGUUUUCAUGAUUUGUUUACCUGUCGGUGAAAACAGGCCAAUAUCCAAGCUACCUUCUGAGGCGGCAGUAGCCCAGACCCAAAAGCAGUGCUGGGCUGGUGCAUGGGAAGGGGAAACUGGCCAGCCUGGCAGAGUGAUGUUCUCCCAGUCACGCAGCAUUGCUGGGGAAAGGCAACAGAACGUUAGCGUUCUUUCUGUUCCAAUAAUCCAAGGGGUAUCUAACAAUGGGAAGGAACGUGCUGUGUGUCCCAUUAAAGCCUGCCGCUUGAAAGCCAGACUAUAGCCUGAAAUGCCAGCUGGUGCUCAAACAGCCUCUGAUCAUAGUGUGAGACAGAGGAAACAGGAUAAUGAGGAGCGAAUUUUCAUAUUUCAAAUGUUACUAAAAACAUGUCCUAAUGGAAAAUGAAACCUC